GGUUGUUGCCCAGUGGUAGAGCACUUUUCUUGCAUAUGUGAGGUACUGGGUUGGAGACUCAGAAAAACCA
rnacentral:tRNA from 1 species